ACAGAGUAUUGCGCAGUUUUUCAAUUUAAAAUAAAUAAACUUUAAUCCGAUAGUUUGAAAAGCAUAUCAACACAAUUUUAUUCGAAUGCAGGAAUACCCACAACUUGCGCGGCUGGCUGAAAAUAUUUUACAGCACUGCCAGUCGAUGAAAAAUAAGCCGAGUGAACGAUCGAGUCAAUUCAAAAAUAAAAACCUCAAAAUGGAAAUUCAAAGAGGCAACGGUAAAUCUAAGAAAUAUUCCUGGCUAUCGGUGCCAUCAUCAUUCUCCGUCUAUAAGAAGUCGGAGGCGAGUUGUCCAGAAAGCUGCAUUUGUCAUCGCAAGCGCGGAUUGAUUAUCUGCACUUGUUGCCAGAAAUCGUUUGUGGGCCGCAUCGGGGAGCGUUGUCUCGCGCAUCCAGAAAUUGCUUAUCUUAUGGAUGCACGCAAUUGCGCUUUCUGCGGAGCUGCUGCUAAAGAUUUGCGAAUGGCGGCGGAUCAAAUGUGAAACAAUAAAGAUAUGUAUAAGAAAAUUGUCGUUGACGACACUCAAUAUCAAAUACAAAUACCAAAGUAUAUGUAAACAAAUGAACAAUGAAAUCAAUAAAUAUAUUGAUACGAUUGUGUAUCUAAACACA